rnacentral:lncRNA from 1 species
AGAUGGCCACUUUCUGAUCACGUGGAGAGGGAGAAGAAAAGGCUCGGGGAAUUUCACCACAAAUCUUCCUCGGUCUUAAUCUCUUGUGGCGUGUCCAACGAAGUUCCAGCGGUGAACUAUCACACAUUGAGAAUCCAGUCCAGUGUUGACGAGAUCCAGAGCCACCUCGUGAACUAUCACAGCUCGCCAUCGCAGGGUUAACCCGCAAGUCCACUAACCGUUGCUCGCCAUCCCGAAGAACCUGUUACCACUUGACACCGUCCCGACGAGUUGUUGCUGCCCACGCUCGCUAUCCCACAACAUCAACAACGCAAAGAGCUGCCGUGUCCCUCCUCGGCGAAGUCCGAUCAGAUCUAAGCCCCAUUGACGAAGCCUGGAUUUCCUUGAGACAAACCAAGCGCAUUGGCGCCAGCAAUUUUCCCCCGAGACGCUUGCAGCUUCCUGAUGAACCCCCGCUCAGCACAGAGACGUGAAGGGAACACGACACAUGCAGGACGGGAUAUAUGAUUCAUGCCUUGGCUUCUUCUUUGAUUAAAAUCUUGCCAUGUGUCUUUUAUCUAUUUAUUUAUUUAUUUAAGCAUAGUCUCAUGAAUGAUCCCAUAUUCUGAUCAUCACCAUAUUGACGUCUUCCCCC